GAUGAACGCUGGCGGCGUGCCUAAUACAUGCAAGUCGAACGCGCAGCGAAAGGUGCUUGCACCUUUCAAGCGAGUGGCGAACGGGUGAGUAACACGUGGAUAACCUGCCUCAAGGCUGGGGAUAACAUUUGGAAACAGAUGCUAAUACCGAAUAAAACUUAGUAUCGCAUGAUACAAAGUUAAAAGGCGCUACGGCGUCACCUAGAGAUGGAUCCGCGGUGCAUUAGUUAGUUGGUGGGGUAAAGGCUUACCAAGACAAUGAUGCAUAGCCGAGUUGAGAGACUGAUCGGCCACAUUGGGACUGAGACACGGCCCAAACUCCUACGGGAGGCUGCAGUAGGGAAUCUUCCACAAUGGGCGCAAGCCUGAUGGAGCAACGCCGCGUGUGUGAUGAAGGCUUUCGGGUCGUAAAGCACUGUUGUAUGGGAAGAAAUGCUAAAAUAGGGAAUGAUUUUAGUUUGACGGUACCAUACCAGAAAGGGACGGCUAAAUACGUGCCAGCAGCCGCGGUAA
rnacentral:rRNA from 1 species